GUGGAUUAGAUACCCUGGUAGUCCACGCUGUAAACGAUGAUUACUCGAUGUUGGCGAUACACAGUCAGCGUCUGAGCGAAAGCAAUAAGUAAUCCACCUGGGGAGUACGAUCGCAAGAUUGAAACUCAAAGGAAUUGACGGGGGCCCGCGCAAGCGGAGGAGCAUGUGGUUUAAUUCGAUGAUACGCGAGGAACCUUACCUGGGCUCGAACGUAAGAUGACUGUAGGUGAAAGCUUACAUCUCUUCGGAGCAUUUUACGAGGUGCUGCACGGCUGUCGACAACU
rnacentral:rRNA from 1 species